UACAGAGGUCUCAAGCGUUGUUCGGAUUCAUUGGGCGUAAAGGGUGCGUAGGCGGCGCGGUAAGUCGGGUGUGAAAUCUCGGAGCUUAACUCCGAAACUGCAUUCGAUACUGCCGUGCUUGAGGACUGGAGAGGAGACUGGAAUUUACGGUGUAGCGGUGAAAUGCGUAGAUAUCGUAAGGAAGACCAAGGGCGAAGGCGGGGCUCUGGGCAGUUCCUGACGCUGAGGCACGAAAGUCAGGGGAGCAAACGGG
rnacentral:rRNA from 1 species